CUGGAGGCCAGUGGGGACUCUCCGGGGAAGUCCCCCUAGGAGGGAAGACUGGCAGAGUUGAGAGGGAUUUCUGGUCAUCGCUGAAGUCAGGCUGUGGACCCUGAGUGUGGCGGAGGCUAGGAAGUGCUGUACUGAUCCUUCUUUGGGACUGAAAGACUGAUUCCCCCGGCUGCCGGGCCCGGGGUCGUGGCUGGAAGAUAGCCCUCCCUGGAGACUGUGCCACUUGGAAGAAAACUGCCUCACCCGAAGUCAUGCCCUCUUCCAGAUGUGCCCCUGUGACAUGAAGCGUGUGUCCCUGCAUCACAGUUACAGUGACAGAUCAGUGUGGACCUGCAAAGACCCAAACCUCUCCCGCUCACGUGAGCCAUGUCCGCAGGGUCACCCCAUCUCCAGAACUCUCUGUCGGGACUGCCUCAAAGCUGGGCUUCUUCCUCUGCCCAGACCUUCCUCCUGCUCCUCCCUUCUGCAGGUGUUUUUCCCAAGCGCCCUUUCUAAAUAACAUCCUCCACACCCA